rnacentral:rRNA from 1 species
AUUUGGGGGAAUGGAGUUAUAUAUAAAUAUAUUAUUCUAGAGAUAGAUGUAUACACUCAUAUGUAUUACGGUUAGAUUAAUAGGUUAAUAUAUAAAUAUAUACGUUUCGACUAUGUCGUGUAAAGUUCUAAAUAGAAGAUUGAUUAUGACAGAUUUCUAUUUAUGUGUCUCGACCAAUUCUUGUGCCAGCAGUCGCGGCAACACAAGCGAGACUAGUGUUAUUCAUCUUCAUUAGGUUUAAAGGGUACCUAGACGGUAGUUUCAGCCUGAGAGGGAACAUAACUACUAGAGUUUUAUUUGAGAGGCAGAUGUUAGGACCGUAGGUGGAGAGAUGAUAUUCCGUCAUACUUACGGUACGUAUUAAGGCGAAGGCGAACCUCUAUCUAUAAACUGACGUUAAGGGACGAAGGCUUGGGGAGCGAAUAGGAGCUGUUGCCCUAGUAGUCCAGGCAGAAAAUUAUGAGUGUUAUAGACCAAGAUAAAAUGGGUGUAUAAAUUAAAGUGUAAGCAUUCCACCUCAAGAGUAAGGCGGCAACGCAGGAACUGAAAUCAU